CAGACCAUCCACUACAGAUGAUGACCAAAUCAAGUCAUUAAUUGAGAAUAACCCACAUUGGACAACCCGAGAAUUGGCAGAAAGCCUCAACCUAUCAAAAUCCGUUAUUCAUGAGCACCUGGUAAAGUUUGGGUACACAAAACGCUACGACGUUUGGGUACCACAAGAGUUGAGUGAGAAGAAUCUUUUGGAACGCAUUUCCAGCUGUGA